GACGAACGCUGGCGGCGUGCCUAACACAUGCAAGUUGAGCGCUGAAGGUUUGUACUUGUACCAUCUGGAUGAGCAGCGAACGGGUGAGUAACGCGUGGGGCAUCUGCUUUUGUGCGGGGGACAAUAAUUGAAAACGAAUGAUAAUACCACAUAAAAACUUUAAACACAAGUUUUAUGUUAGAAAGAUGCCAUUGGAUCAUUCAUAGAUGAUUCCGCGUUGUGUUAGCUAGGUGGUGAGGUACCGGCUCACCAAGGCGUGGAUACAUAGCCGACCUGAGAGGAUGGGCGGCCACCUUGGGACUGAGACACGGCCCAAAGGCCUACAGGAGGCAGCAAGAGGGGAACUUCGGCAAUCGGCGGAAGUCUGACCGAGCAGGGCCGAGGGAGGGAAGAAGGGCUUCGGGUCGGAAAACUCUGUUUGUAGGGAAGAACGUUGGUGAGAGUGGAAAGCUGAUCAAGUGACGGUAACGACCCAAAAAGGAACGGCUAACUACGUG
rnacentral:rRNA from 1 species